rnacentral:lncRNA from 1 species
ACGGACCAACAACGAACCAAGUAAAAAACACGCUUGAAACCAAAAAAUUCGCGGGUCAAAAAUUCCGGGUCAAAAAAACCAGGUCGAUUUACCCCUUCUUAUCUCUUACUCUCCCAAUUCAUAUUGAUUCUCUCCUUCUCUCUUACUCUGCUCUCCGCGACCGAACCUCUCUCAAAACCCUUUUCCCCCGAUUUCACUCUGCCAACAAAGGUGAAGCUAGAUUCGCGAAAGGGAAAACAUCGAUCUCGCUACGAACAAGUUUGCUAUGGAAGGGAAGAUUCCUGCAAAGCUCCGGCCAACAGAAGGUAAUGCUCUCUAAUUUUUGUUUGUCGCGAAAGAAAUCUAGGGUUUUUUCUUUAUGAGUUUUCCCCAAAUUUUGUCUAAUUUUUGAUCCCUUCUUCCCUAUGUUUGAUUUAUGGGUGUACUAGUUUAUCCCUUUUCUGCUUGUUCUGUGUUUUUCUUGGUCAUACCUUGUGAUUCUGUUGCAAGUCUACCAUUACUGCUUUUUUGCUAGAGGUCUGCUGGUGCAUCUCAUAACAGGUGGCGAGCUUUGUAGGUAUUGUGAAUUAGGUGACCAAGUAGAUGAUAAUAAGACCUUAGGAUUUAAUUCUGAACAGGAAUUUGAAAACUUGCGUGUUUGACUUCCAUUGAUCCAACUAUUUUCCUCAUCUAUGUUUUUGUGUCAAGAAAUCCUCUCUUUGAACCAGUAGUGUUUUGGUCAGUGAUGUUAGAGAAGGAGCCCAGGGAGAGAAGAGAAGAAGACUCGUUGACUGUAAUGUUCAGUAUCCUGUUUCUUUGGUUCAUUCAGUAUAAUGUAUUAGACAAAAAAUUAAUAAAUUAUAAUGUAUAAACUAUGAAACAAAUUUAUUACUGAAAACAUCUAUUUAGUGUGUUUAUGUUAAUUAGAAAGGUAUUAUUAGUCAAAUUUACAAUGAAUAUAAAAUACUUUUUUUUGUAGUUUAUGAGAGAGAACACAUUUUAUCUCAGGUCUGAACUUUCGAAGACGCACGUUGACAGAUAAGUAUGAAAUUGUGAUAUGAUAAAUGAUAAAUGCACUUGGGAUAAUUAGUCCUGCGGAGUGUUUUUCUUUUUUAUUGUUAGGGAGAUGCAAUGCUAGAGUCUUCCUACAUUUUUGUAGUUAAGGAGAUGCACAACUUUUUUCUUUGUGUAACUAAUCUAGAGACAAUUAAAGAAGAAUAUUACCUGUUUUGAUAUAUAUGAAGGUAUAUUGCAUAUCAACAUACUUGUUGUGGCUCUGGCAGUGGAACACGCAUUUCUCAUUUUUUACCUACAUCUCGCAGAAUUGUGCAAUUUUCUAAUGGGAAGGUACUUAUAUAAAACUUGUCCUUAAAUCAUUUUUGAAAUCUGAAAUCUGAUUAUGCUCAUAAAUCCAUACACUAUAAUAAUAUGUAACUUUAAUUUCUGUCGUUUAUUGAUCCUUAUUUAUAGUUCUGCCUCUUAAUUUUUGACAUCUGAAAUCUGUUGCUAUUUUUUUGCAUAUAACUCAUGAUGGUUAUUUUUCUAGGAGGGUAAUCAACUAGAAGGCGAUGGAGAGAGCAUGCCAAAAGGAGUCCAGUUAAAGGAUACAGAGCAGUGCAGGAAGUCGACGGUUAAAGGAAUGGUGGGACUCCAGUUUGGUCUACAUAGUAAAAAGAAGUCCAGUUUCCUUUCUAUGGUCUGCUAGUUUACUUUGGGAUUUCAGGAAGAGAGAAAAACAUGUCGAAGUUUAUUUUAGUCUGAGCUUGCAUAUACUGUGAAUAUUUGUUUUGUUUUGUUUUAUUUUUUGCUAGACAGGUGAUGUUAUUUAUAUAGUAUAUGUUGAUCUGCAAGGUAUUUUGGACAACAAUAAGUAUAUAAUUUGCUAUACAGGUGAUGUUAAUGUUUUUUUAGCUCAUUGUAUUCCCUUGUAUGAAUCCAAAUGUCAUAUAAGCAUUUUUGUCAGUCAUGUUAUUUUGCAAAAAUCUCUUCCUACAGUCCAGGCCAACAUUAGAUCAAUCAUUAUCCAGAAGUGGGGUUUCAAUACAACAAGCAAUCAUGUAGCAGCUCCUAUCAUAACCUCGCAUCCUUUGACGAAACACAGGAACCCAAAAUAACUGUAAAUCUA